UAUAACUGAGAAGCUGUCAGAUGAACCUAUAUAAGCUGGCGAGAGUAAUGUAUUGACAUGCUGGCCGUUACACCUGUCACUGUAUUUGAGAGACAGUGUAUGCGGUUUCGUAUAAAUUUGCGGAGCUGCGAAAUUCGAUAACACUGUCACUGUAACAAUUGAGGCAUAUAGAUUACGUGGAACAAUCCUAGAUAUCUCAUCAAGCACAGAGAGCCUAAAUUUCAACUUGGGAAAAUAAAG